GACGAACGCUGGCGGCGUGCUUAACACAUGCAAGUCGAACGGAAAGGCCCUGCUUUUGUGGGGUGCUCGAGUGGCGAACGGGUGAGUAACACGUGAGUAACCUGCCCUUGACUUUGGGAUAACUUCAGGAAACUGGGGCUAAUACCGGAUAGGAGCUCCUGCUGCAUGGUGGGUGUUGGAAAGUUUCGGCGGUUGGGGAUGGACUCGCGGCUUAUCAGCUUGUUGGUGGGGUAGUGGCUUACCAAGGCUUUGACGGGUAGCCGGCCUGAGAGGGUGACCGGCCACAUGGGGACUGAGAUACGGACCAGACUCCUACGGGAGGCAGCAGUGGGGAAUAUUGCACAAUGGGCGGAAGCCUGAUGCAGCAACGCCGCGUGCGGGAUGACGGCCUUCGGGUUGUAAACCGCUUUCGCCUGUGACGAAGCGUGAGUGACGGUAAUGGGUAAAGAAGCACCGGCUAACUACGUG
rnacentral:rRNA from 1 species